rfam:Nematostella vectensis strain CH2 x CH6 NEMVEscaffold_232_Cont19872, whole genome shotgun sequence.
AUCAGGAUGGCCAAGUGGUCUAAGGCGCUGCGUUCAGGUCGCAGACUGGUUCUCCAGGCGCGGGUUCGAAUCCCACUCCUGACA